AUGGACAGAUCACUGCAGAGCUCACCAGCCCAGGAGGUGGACCGAAUGCCCCCCGCGCGCGCGGUGGCCGUGGUGGGCGCAGGCGCGGCGGGGCUGGUGGCCGCACGCGAGCUGCUCCGCGAAGGCCACGCCGUCACGGUCUUCGAGCGUUCGGACCGCGUGGGCGGUACCUGGGCCUACGACCCGCGAGCCGACGAAACGGAUCCGCUGGGCGCCGCCGUCCAUGGCAGCCUGUACGCGUCGCUGCGCACGAACCUCCCGCGCGAGCUCAUGGGCUUCUCAGGCCACGAGAGCCUCGUGGGCAGGGUCUUCGCCGGGGACCCGCGCACGUUCCCGGGCCACCAGGAGGUGCUCGCCUUCCUGCGCGCGUUCGCCGAGGAGUCCGGGGUCGCCCGGCGCGUCAGGCUACGCGCCGAGGUGGUGCGCGCGGCGCCACCCCUCGGUCGUGGCGGGGAAAGCGGUGAGAGGUGGAGCGUGGCGUGGCGGGGCGAGGACGGCGAGGUGGCCGUGGAGGCCUUCGACGCCGUCGUCGUCUGCAACGGGCACUGCACCGUGCCCCUCGUGCCCAAGCUCCCAGGAAUCGGCAAGUGGCGAGGAAAGCAAAUGCACAGCCACAAUUACCGCAUUCCCGAGCCAUUUCGAGAUCAGAUCGUUGUUGUGGUAGGAUUAGGAGCCAGCGGAAUCGACAUCGCGAGAGAGAUCUCACAGGUGACCAAGGAGGUGCACAUCGCGUCAAGACAGAACGAACACAGGCUGGGGAAGAUCUCAAUCGACCCCUACCUGAAUGUCUGGAUGCACGCAGAGGUGGAUUGCAUCCAAGAAGAUGGCCAAGUGCGCUUCGCUGAGGGUGCAGCGGUGGCAGCAGACGUGAUCCUCUACUGCACAGGGUACCGUUACCACUUCCCGUUCUUGGACCUGGACGAGCUCACCGUGGACGACGAGAACCGCGUCGGGCCUCUGUACAAGCACGUCUUCCCCCCGAAGUACGCGCCGAAUCUCUCCUUCGUCGGACUGCCGGUCAAGACCAUCCUCUUCCAGUCGUUCGAACUGGAGGCCAAGUGGGUGGCGCGCGUGCUGUCCGGGAGAGCGGCUCUGCCGAGCGAGGAGGGCAUGCUGGACGCUGUGCGGGAGCACUACCGGCGGAUGGAGGAGAGCGGGAGGCCCCGGCGCCACACGCACGCCCUCAUGCCUGAAUGGGUGGAGUACAUGGACUGGCUGGCGGAGCAGGUCGGCGAGCGGCGGCUGGAGGCGCGGAGGCGGGACAUAUACGAGAGAGCCCUCCAGCGCGUCUGGUCUCUGGACGGGGGAUACCGUGACAGCUGCGAAGAUGAAGAAAAGGGCAGUGGCGACAGUAAAGUUUAG
rnacentral:rRNA from 1 species